UUUGUUGGUAAGUUGCAAUCUGAAAGGACCACAGCAUAUGCUUGUUGAUGAUUGUUAUAGAACAAAGAACAGUUGGGCCUCGGAAUGCAGGACAGAGAAGGUAGGGUCACCAUACAGCAUGCUCACAUGGCAAUGCACAUGAAGGUUGUUCUCUUUGAUGACGCUAAAGCAGCCACAUACAGAGAACCGCAAAUGAGAUAGAUAUUGAGGCAGCUGGAAAUCAAUUCAUUCUUUGCCUUCAUUUGCCAUUAUUCCCUACUAUUUUUUUGGUGCAAGUCACAAGAGUCUCUUGGCCUUCCUUCUCUGUCAGUCACAUAGCAUGCUGAUCAUGUGUUCUUGCCAUUUCUUUUUUGUUUGCUUGAUGAUAGUGUGAUUUAUUUCUUCUUUUUCUUGAGCAAAACAACUCAGAUAAAAAUAUAUGAAGCAUCCAGUAAAAGAUAAAUAAUUUCCAACAUCCAACAUCUUCUAAAUUAGGGAUUGAACACAAUGCCCAACAAGCCAUUCUACCUGGCUUGUGCCAGAACCUGCAUGUAGGACCAAACUUUUCAAUCAAGAUGGUGAGAGUGACUUGUCCCAAUAGCUUGCAGAUAAGGUUCAUUCAUUGGUGUUAAAGAAUUGUAAGAUCAACAGAGCCAAAGGGCAGUUUUCUGACUGAGGACAAUAUGGGGGCAGCUCAACUCAGUCCUAUAUAAAUGGCACCAUGAAGACUUGUUUUCCAUGCUUGAAGAGAGACCUGUUUCCUGAAGGGGGGGAGGUGGGGAUAAAAUGGUGUCCAAGGUAGAAGAAACCAGAUUCAGAAGGCAGGAAUCCUUGAAGAGGAACAAGCAGGACAAUGAGGUGAAGGGGAAGGACCCAAAGCAAGAGGUGGUGAGGCUGCAAAAGGUGUGCAAGUUCAAGAGGAGCAGCUUCAGUGAGGAAGAAGAUGCUACUUCCUCCGCCAUUCUCCUCUUAGCUUGUAUUGCAUGUGCUCCUACUCCUCUAUAGCUCUGCCUUCCUUUACCUUCGGACUUAGCUUCUACCAUAAGCUUCAGAUCACCAGUGUUCAUUGUCCUCUUGGGAACAUGUACACAGUGGUGCUCUGAUACCUGCAGCUCUUAGGAACAUUGUUCCUCCUGGGACCAUGAACACAGUGACAACCUACACCAAAAGAUGGUCAUAUGACAGUGUCUAAGGAAAUCUCAAUGUGAAGUGUCUGUGUUGUCUCUUUAUGCAUGAAGUCUUCAAAUAUGUUUGAGCUGUCUGUAAAAUCCAAGCGCAAACAGGUACCACUUCCAUCUCAGUUUCAACACAGAAUUAGAUUCUCUCUCUACA